rnacentral:misc_RNA from 1 species
GAUGAAGAACGCAGCGAAAUGCGAUAAGUAAUGUGAAUUGCAGAAUUCAGUGAAUCAUCGAAUCUUUGAACGCACAUUGCGCCCGCCAGUAUUCUGGCGAGCAUGCCUGUUCGAGCGUCAUUUCAACCAUCAAGCCCCAGGCUUGUGUUGGAGCCCUGCGGCUGCCGCAGCCUCCCAAAACCAGUGGCGGGCUCGCUAUCACACCGAGUGCAGUAGUUUACUCUUCGCUCAGGGCGUGUGGCGGGUGCUAGCCGUGAAACCCCCAACUUCUCAAGGUUGACCUCGGAUCAGGUAGGAAUACCCGCUGAACUUAAGCAUAUCAAUAGAGGA